rnacentral:rRNA from 1 species
AGAGUUUGAUCCUGGCUCAGGAUGAACGCUAGCUACAGGCUUAACACAUGCAAGUCGAGGGGCAGCAUGGUCUUAGCUUGCUAAGACCGAUGGCGACCGGCGCACGGGUGAGUAACGCGUAUCCAACCUGCCUUACACUCUUGGACAGCCUUCUGAAAGGGAGAUUAAUACAAGAUGUUAUCAUGAGUAAGCAUUUUCACAUGAUUAAAGGUUUACCGGUGUAAGAUGGGGACGCGUUCCAUUAGAUAGUAGGCGGGGUAACGGCCCACCUAGUCUUCGAUGGAUAGGGGUUCUGAGAGGAAGGUCCCCCCACAUUGGAACUGAGACACGGUCAAACUCCUACGGGAGGCA